GACGAACGCUGGCGGCGUGCUUAACACAUGCAAGUCGAACGCGCCUGUCCUCUGGGUUUCUGGGGGGUGGGUGAGUGGCGAACGGGUGAGUAACACGUGAGUAACCUGCCCCCUUCUUCGGGAUAACGGUCUGAAAGGGCUGCUAAUACCGGGUAUUCACUGGUCUCCGCAUGGGGUCUGGGGGAAAGGUUUUUUUCUGGUGGGGGAUGGGCUCGCGGCCUAUCAGCUUGUUGGUGGGGUGAUGGCCCACCAAGGCUUUGACGGGUAGCCGGCCUGAGAGGGUGACCGGUCACAUUGGGACUGAGAUACGGCCCAGACUCCUACGGGAGGCAGCAGUGGGGAAUAUUGCACAAUGGGCGCAAGCCUGAUGCAGCGACGCCGCGUGAGGGAUGGAGGCCUUCGGGUUGUGAACCUCUUUCGCCCGUGGUCAAGCCGCGACGUGGGUCGUGGUGAGGGUAGUGGGUAAAGAAGCGCCGGCUAACUACGUG
rnacentral:rRNA from 1 species